rnacentral:tRNA from 1 species
UCUCUGGUGGCUCAGAUGGAAAAGAAUCUGUUUGUAAUGCAGGAGACCCAGGUUCAAUCCCUGGUUUGGGAG